rnacentral:tRNA from 1 species
GAUGACGUGUCCGAGUGGUUAAGGAGACUGACUCGAAUUUUUCAGAAGAGUGUUAUCAGUUGGGCUUGCCCGCGCAGGUUCAAAUCCUGCCGUCAUCG